rnacentral:rRNA from 1 species
AGGACGAACGCUGGCGGCGUGCCUAACACAUGCAAGUCGAACGGGACCAGGGGCAACUCUGGUUCAGUGGCGGACGGGUGCGUAACACGUGAGGAACAUGACCUUGGCGGGGGAUAGCCGGCCCAACGGCCGGGUAAUACCGCGUACGACCACUUUGGGACAUCCCUCGGUGGUGAAAGCAGCAAUGCGCCGAUGGAGUGCCUCGCGCCUAUCAGCUAGUUGGUGAGGUAACGGCUCACCAAGGCGACGACGGGU